ensembl:lincRNA
GACCUGGGACACCAGCAACAGCACCUCAGAGGAGUGUCCACGACAGCUGUCACUUCUGCAGCAGCAAGGAAGGUGAGCAAGCCGGAGGGCCUGCAAGUGGUGGGCUCCACAUCCCCUCAGGGUCAGGGCAGGGACUCGUUUGGAGAGGAAUGAUCACUCUGCAGCAGCAGAGCCAGCAGGAAUUUAGCUACCAUAACCUGAGAAUAAAAAGGAAUGACAGCUCAGUUUGGCUGUCACAGGCCUUGUGAGGCUGGGGACAUGUGGGUCUCAUUGGGAGAAUGCUGUCACCCCUCCAGGAACAAGAACGGGGUGGCAUUUAAGGGUGGGUGAGAGGCGAGCAGGCAGUGCAAACUGGCAAAGGUCACACAGUGGACGAUUAUAUUCCCGAUGGAUGCCAACCCUAGCUCACAAAGUGCUGAAGGAACGAAAUCUGCUGAAAUGUGUUCUUUUUCACCCUCCUUAAAAAUAUCAAAAGCUAAUAUUUUGCAGACGGUUCUAUACUGGCCACGAUGGCCAGGCUUCGUGGGGUCCAAAACAAACACACCUGAGCUAGCUUUGGUGAGCAUCAGGAGGGCAAGGUAGUGGCCAAAGAAUUAACAGAGGAAUCUGAGGAUUGUUCUUUAUCCCCGAGGGCCUCAACUUGAAAUAACUCUUGUUUGGGAAUUGGGAGCAGGUGGCGAGGAGGGGAGCAGGCCGUGGGGGAGAAGCUCACAGGCAGAGAGGAUUCUGAUCUGGCCGUUUCCAGGAGCAGAUCUGGCUUCUCCGUGGUGAUGAAUAUUUGUGAUCUCUUUCUUCAAAGUCAAGGGUGCCAAGGAGGAGUGAAUAUGUCAUUUCUGUUCAGCCGCAGCAUCCGGGGUCCGAGUGCUGUCUUCUCCGUACACCCGCAUUCUCUCUCUGGCGAUGGGGUCUGGUCACCCUCUGUCUUAGUGUGGUUUCUCCCAGAAGCACACGCAAAUAGUUUGGGAAACGCUCCCUGGAAACGCAGAUGAGAGUGGAGCAGAGAGGGAAGGUAACCGAGAGAGAGGCAGAAGCAAGCUGGUGACUGCUGUGGGCAACUGGAAUUCAUCCCACGGGGGACCGGGGGCGGAGGGAAACGCGCCAGAGCCACGGCCCCCAGAGGAGAAGGCUUCGGGACUGUGUACGUCGAUGGCAGUAUCCUUGGCUGAGGCCCUGCAGGCUGUGCUGCUCCCCCAGUGGCAGGUUGCCCCUUGUUCACCCUGAGUGUGGUCCGAUAAUGCUCUCGAUGGGCGUGGAAGGCACUGGCACAGACGUCAUGCUCGGGUGCAUAAAUGUACAAGAGAGGGAGUGGGGAGGCUCAGACAACUUCUGCCCUGUCCUUUGUUUCUUGUUCUUCAUCCUCCUUAUCGGAGUAAUAUCACCAUUGGCCACGAUUCAUAUAGGCUCUUACAAACAGAGCUAAUUCUUUGGCAUUAAAGCCAGCAAAGAGAGGUGCAGAGAAAAUGAAACGUUCUAGCUGCUUGCUUGCUUGCUUUCUUUCUUUCUGUCUGCCUGUCUGUCUGUCUCUCUCUCUCUUUCAUUUGUUGUUUUGAGACAGGGUACUGCUAGACAGUUUACGCUGGCUUGCACUCACUAGGUAGCCCAGGCUGGGUUUGAACUUGUGGCCAUUGUCCUGCUUCGGCCUCCCAAGUGUUAGGAUUACAGGCAUGUGCCACUGGGCCUGGAAAGCUUUUUUAUUUUUUUUUUUCUUUCUUUUUCUUUUGAGUCAAGAUCUCUCUAUGUAGUCCAGGCUGGCAUUGAACUCAUGUAGACCAGGAUGGCCUCAAACUCAUAGCGAUCCUCCUGUCUCAGCCUCCUGAGUGCUGGAAGUAUAGGAGGGAGCCACCACACCCAGAGGCAUCAUUUCUUAUAGGCCUAUUGCUAUUUGGGGGUUCUAGUUUGGUUUUCAUCUUGGUAGAUGGGGUGGCUGUAGCAGCCUCUAAUUUUACCCAGGCCGUAUUUUAACAGAAACCAGAGUACCUAAAUCCAGGCUCACAUUUUGCCUGCUGAGGUAAGCGCCUUUCUCUCUUGGUGCCAAUCGGAGGUAUGACAUCAGAAGGUAUGACAUCCACUCUUUUUGAGGGACAUCAGCUGUCCAGUGAGGAGGUGUCACUAGGAGGCCACAUACUCCUUUGACCAGUGCCAGCAGAGGGCAGGAAGGGCUCCAGCUGUUCAUGAUGGUUAAUCUCGACUGUCAGUUUGAUUGACCUCAGAAGUGCCUAGGGGAUUAGCAAAGCACCCUUCUGGGUGAGUCUGGGUGGGCCAUGGAGGUGAGUCCUUGGAGGCCAAAUCUGGUCCCUGGCCCCUUCUUCUAUGGUGCUCUUCUCCUGUGCUCUGCUUCCUGAAGUGAGCGGCAUCCACCAUGACGUUUCUGCUUUGGAGCCCGCUGACCAUGCACGGAAGCCCCUGAAACUGUGAUCCAGAAUAAGCCUCUCUUCAAGUCCCAAAUGGCAGGUAUUUCGUCCUAGCAAUGGGAGAGCUGACGAACACACCAUUUCAAGGUCUCACGCUAGAACAAUGAGAACAUCUUCCUCAGGCCUGAGGCCCUUGGCCUGG